rnacentral:sRNA from 12 species
CGUUCAGAGAUUGCCUCUGUCGUACCUACGACAGUAGAUACGAGAAUGUGAUUAUUGA